rnacentral:rRNA from 1 species
CAGUGGGGAAUUUUGGACAAUGGGCGAAAGCCUGAUCCAGCAAUGCCGCGUGAGUGAAGAAGGCCUUCGGGUUGUAAAGCUCUUUUGUCAGGGAAGAAACGGUUCGGGCUAAUAUCCUGAGCUAAUGACGGUACCUGAAGAAUAAGCACCGGCUAACUACGUGCCAGCAGCCGCGGUAAUACGUAGGGUGCAAGCGUUAAUCGGAAUUACUGGGCGUAAAGCGUGCGCAGGCGGUUUUGUAAGUCUGACGUGAAAUCCCCGGGCUCAACCUGGGAAUUGCGUUGGAGACUGCAAGGCUAGAAUCUGGCAGAGGGGGGUAGAAUUCCACGUGUAGCAGUGAAAUGCGUAGAGAUGUGGAGGAACACCGAUGGCGAAGGCAGCCCCCUGGGUCAAGAUUGACGCUCAUGCACGAAAGCGUGGGGAGCAAACAGGAUUAGAUACCCUGGUAGUCCACGCCCUAAACGAUGUCUACUAGUUGUCGGGUUUUAAUUAACUUGGUAACGCAGCUAACGCGUGAAGUAGAC